rnacentral:rRNA from 1 species
UUGUUGGUAAGGUAAAAGCUUACCAAGGCUUCGAUCAGUAGCUGGUCUGAGAGGACGACCAGCCACACUGGGACUGAGACACGGCCCAGACUCCUACGGGAGGCAGCAGUGGGGAAUUUUGGACAAUGGGGGCAACCCUGAUCCAGCCAUGCCGCGUGAGUGAAGAAGGCCUUCGGGUUGUAAAGCUCUUUCAGCCGGAACGGAACGGUUACAGUUAAUACCCGUGACUACUGACGGUACCGGAAGAAGAAGCACCGGCUAACUACGUGCCAGCAGCCGCGGUAAUACGUAGGGUGCGAGCGUUAAUCGGAAUUACUGGGCGUAAAGCGUGCGCAGGUGGUUUUGUAAGUCAGAUGUGAAAGCCCCGGGCUCAACCUGGGAACUGCGUUUGAAACUACAAGACUAGAGUGUGGCAGAGGGGGGUGGAAUUCCGCGUGUAGCAGUGAAAUGCGUAGAGAUGUGGAGGAACACCGAUGGCGAAGGCAGCCCCCUGGGUCAACACUGACGCUCAGGCACGAAAGCAUGGGGAGCAAACAGGAUUAGAUACCCUGGUAGUCCAUGCCCUAAACGAUGUCAACUAGUUGUCGGGCCUUUACGGGCUUGGUAACGUAGCUAACGCGUGAAGUUGACCGCCUGGGGAGUACGAUCGCAAGAUUAAAACUCAAAUGAAUUGACGGGGACCCGCACAAGCGGUGGAUUAUGUGGAUUAAUUCGAUGCAACGCGAAAAACCUUACCUACCCUUGACAUGUAUCGAAGCCCGCAGAAAAGCGGGGGUGCCCGAAAGGGAACGAUAACACAGGUGCUGCAUGGCUGUCGUCAGCUCGUGUCGUGAGAUGUUGGGUUAAGUCCCGCAACGAGCGCAACCCUUGUCAUUAAUUGCCAUCAUUUAGUUGGGCACUUUAAUGAGACUGCCGG